rnacentral:rRNA from 1 species
AAACUCGCCUACAUGAAGUUGGAGUUGCUAGUAAUCGCGGAUCAGAACGCCGCGGUGAAUACGUUCCCGGGCCUUGUACACACCGCCCGUCACACCACGGGAGUGAGUAACACCCGAAGCCGGUGGUCUAACCCGCAAGGGAGGAAGCCGUCGAAGGUGGGACUCGUGACUGGGGUGAAGUCGUAACAAGGUAGCCGUACCGGAAGGUGCGGCUGGAUCACCUCCUUU